rnacentral:rRNA from 1 species
AUUGAACGCUGGCGGCAUGCCUUACACAUGCAAGUCGAACGGCAGCACGGGGCAACCUGGUGGCGAGUGGCGAACGGGUGAGUAAUGUAUCGGAACGUGCCAUUGAGUGGGGGAUAACGUAGCGAAAGUUACGCUAAUACCGCAUAUACCCUGAGGGGGAAAGCAGGGGAUCGCAAGACCUUGUGCUCUUUGAGCGGCCGAUAUCAGAUUAGCUAGUUGGUGAGGUAAAGGCUCACCAAGGCGACGAUCUGUAGCGGGUCUGAGAGGACGAUCCGCCACACUGGGACUAAGACACGGCCCAGACUCCUACGGGAGGCAGCAGUGGGGAAUUUUGGACAAUGGGCGCAAGCCUGAUCCAGCCAUGCCGCGUGAGUGAAGAAGGCCUUCGGGUUGUAAAGCUCUUUCGGCCGGGAAGAAAUCGUACAGGUUAAUACCCUGUGUGGAUGACGGUACCGGAAUAAGAAGCACCGGCUAACUACGUGCCAGCCGCCGCCGUAA